rnacentral:rRNA from 1 species
CAUGCAAGUCGAGCGCGUCCCCUUGGGGGCGAGCGGCGGACGGGUGAGUAACACGUGGAUAACCUGUCCAGAAGUCGGGGAUUACCCCUGGAAACGGGGGUCAAUACCGGAUACGCCUCCCGGAUCGCAUGGUUCGGAGGGUGUAAGGUACCUUCGGGACUCGCUUUUGGGUGGAUCCGCGGCGCAUUAGCUAGUUGGUGGGGUAAGGGCUCACCAAGGCGACGAUGCGUAGCCGGCUUGGGAGAGCGGACGGCCACACUGGGACUGAGACACGGCCCAGACUCCUACGUGAGGCAGCAGUAGGGAAUUUUCCGCAAUGGGCGAAAGCCUGACGGAGCGACACCGCGUGGGUGAAGACGGCCUUCGGGUUGUAAAGCCCUGUUCAUCGGGAAGAAGAAAUGACGGUACGGGUGAAGAAAGCCCCGGCUAACUACGUGCCAGCAGCCGCGGUAAUACGUAGGGGGCGAGCGUUGUCCGGGAUAAUUGGGCGUAAAGGGCGUGUAGGCGGAUGUAUAGGUCGGCGUGAAAGGCACGGGCUCAACCCGUGUAAGCGUUCGAAA